CCGCGCUAGACGGGGAAGUAGCGGAUCCCUGUACCCGAAAUCCGCUCCAGCGGGGUUGAAUCCCUUCCAGAGGCAGCUGUUUUGUCUGGUCUGCCUCAAGUAAGUGGUGUAGACACCCGGGUCCUGCGCAAUGGGAACCCAUGAAUCAUGUCAGGUCCGGAAGGAAGCAGCAUUAAGUGGAACCUCUCAUGUGCCGCGGGGCAGCCUGGGUCGAGCUAACUGCUUGAGUAACGCAGAUGAAGCACUGUCGAAGGAAGGUGCGCGG
rnacentral:SRP_RNA from 1 species